CAGAAACUCGCCGAAAGAAAGUGUGUUUUCCCGUUACAGAAUCAAUUUUGCUUUUUUACUCUCGUGGAUCCAAAGGUAAUUGUUAUUAUAACAAUGUAUUUUCAUUUCAUUGCUCAUUGCUCUGUUCUAAUAAUCAAUGCAUGUUGUUUUCAAAUUCCAUUGUGAGAUUAAUUAUGACCGAUCUUGAUUCAAAGGAGUGAAAUUAUACAUAAUAGCAGCUUUAGACUAAUGUGGAAAACCAACGGUGUUUCAGUUGCAACAACCUUGGAUAAACUAUAUAUGCUGUAGCAGAUAUAUGUCAGGUAAUACCACUUGUUUUCGUUGCAUCCUUCGUUUCAUUUAUUGUUCCAAGGGAGGCAAUUGUCUUUGCUCCCCAUAUUUUCCAAUUAAAUUAAAUCAAUGACUAUAGAAGAUUUUGGAUUAUCGAUAGUUCAUAAAAUUAUAUAUUGUC
rnacentral:lncRNA from 1 species